rnacentral:rRNA from 2 species
UACGUAGGGACCAAGCGUUGUUCGGAUUUACUGGGCGUAAAGGGCGCGUAGGCGGCAAUUCAAGUCAGCUGUGAAAUCUCCGGGCUUAACUCGGAACGGUCAGCUGAUACUGCUUUGCUAGAGUGCAGAAGGGGCAAUCGGAAUUCUUGGUGUAGCGGUGAAAUGCGUAGAUAUCAAGAGGAACACCUGAGGUGAAGACGGGUUGCUGGGCUGACACUGACGCUGAGGCGCGAAAGCUAGGGUAGCAAACGGG